GGGCGGCGGGUCACCAUCUAGUCGACUAAACUGUUCUUCCUCACUCGGGAGUGGAGAAAUAUUAGUGUCGACUGAAUUACUUGUUUGAUGAUUUCAGAAAUCUUGUGAGCUUGGAACCAAGUAUGUAAAUUUGGAAAAGGAGAAGAACCAACUCCAGCUGGACUUGGAGGUGGCCACGAAUGAUGUGAACCUCCUCAAGCAGGCUCUUGAACACAAGGACAAAGCACUCGCUGAGGCUAAGGAGAAAUCUGGGGCUGCAGAGAAGAGGUUCACUACAGUCGGCAAAUUGGAGGAGGAGAACCCGAAAUUGAUGCAAGAACGGGCCGACUAGAGCAAGAAGCUUGAACAGAUGACCAAAAAGAGGAACAGCUUGGAAAACUACUUGGGCAACUUUGCAAAGAAGAUGUUCGGCAUGCUUACAUGUAACUUCCUUUCACCGAGUGAAUUUCCUCCAAUUUUGUUGAAUGACAUUGUAGCCAACUUUCCGUUUUCCCUUCGCGUAGACUUUUUCCAGGACUUUGACAAGGAGACCGAAGAGAUCGAGCCGAAUCUAGAUCCCACCAAGUCACCCGCUGGGGACGUGGUGGCCAUGAAUAUGUUCCGCCUCGACUAUCAUCUCAAAAAAGUUCAAGAAUAUGUCGUCCGACUAAGUGCUACCCUGGAGAGGAUUGACAAGGAGCUUUGGGCAUAAGACACCCUCCAGACUGACCUUGAAUCAAUGAUGGGCUGCCUUGACCACAUUCCGAAUCGGGUGCAGGCCUGGAAGAAAUCUGAUGUGCGCUGUGGAGCCAAUCUGGCUCUUUCACUCGUCUGGAUCCAUUGUAAGGAGGCUAAGGAGGAAAGACUGAAGGCGCUCCAGGUGGCCAACACAAAAAAGCUUCAGUUUGAGAACUUCAUGGAGAUCUUCAUCGAGGCAGCCACCCGUAUUGCUGAUGGGAUUGACCUAAACACCUUCGUCGAGCCUGCGAGUCCCGACGCGCCUUGAAAAACUUUGAUUACAGUUUAAAUUUUGCUUGCCUCGGUAUGCCGAGAGAUGGUGUAACUGUUGAAAACUUCCUUCGGGCCUUAAGUCCGAGUACUUUUGUUUGCAUAGACAACCUUAUUCCGUGCUGGAGAUCUUGGGUUUAUCUGCAUUUGGCUUCCCAAUCUUUUGCUUGACUAAGCUUGUUUGAUUUUUGAAUGAACUUGACGUUCAUUAUCGGAAGCAUUUUGAGCUUAGGAGAAACCUUCGUCGCGGCUAAGUCUUCGACUAAGGGAAGUUCUCGUCAUUCGGUAAAGUUUUUUACUUAGGCGAAAACUAAUUCGCAGCUAAGUAUCCGAGUGAAUGGGUUGUUAUCCACUCGGUUGGAUUUUAACUUAGGUGAAGACUUGUUCGCAGCUAAGCUCCCGAGUGAGAUAAUUGUCCUACACUCGGAGUGUUUUAGAAACUUAGGUGAAAUCUCGUUCGCUGCUAAGCCCCCGAGUGAGAGGAUUGCUCUACACUCGGAGUGUUUUUAGAACUUAGGUGAAAUCUUGUUCGCAGCUAAGCCCCCGAGUGAGAGGAUUGCUCUGCACUCAUAGGGUAUUUAGAAACUUAGGCGAAAUCUUGUUCGCAGCUAAGACCCCGAGUGAGAAGGUUGCUCUGCACUCACAGGGUUUUUAGAAACAGGCGAAAUCUUGUUCGUUGCUAAUGUGACAGCCCGAGACCGAUGCUCCAUAAGAUUUCCCUUUUACUCCUUGCCAUUGUGUGAUCCGAUUGUGUGGCGCAGUCAUCAUUGCAUCAUUCACAUCAUCCGCAUUGCAUCGGCACUCCAUUGCCGCUAGUUUUAAAAACAUGUAUGCAUUAUUAGUUGUGGUUCUCUCCGUUCGCAUCGUAGACCGUUUUGAGGCCAACCACACAUGCACACACCCGCGACAUCGUUAAAAAUAUUGUUUUAAAGGUAUCCAAAAAUAUUUCCGGAUUGGGUUGAAACUUGGCGUGCGGUCUUAUUUUAAUGUAGGUGGGUCGUCUACCAAAUUUUGUCGCAAUCGGAGUUUGUUUGAUACCCGAACCGUUAAACCUGUAACGGCACUAUAGCUGGUCAAUUGUCGGACGUUUUGGUAUUUUAAACUCUGUCGCCGGGUUGCCUGUUUUUCUCUCUCAAUUCUAUGCCUAGCCCCUCUACAUAGUGCACAAACCCUAUGGGCAACCUAUCCCAAAGACCUCCCGGAACCCGGAACCAACGUUCGUGACCGCUGGAUCCGGAUCAACCGUGUUUUACCAUAAACCGUCACCGAUUUGUCAAUUGGACGCCCUAACGUAAUAAUCUCGGUCGUUUGAUUUUAAUCGAAGGGAUGAGAUAGCCCUAACCCAACCAACCUCGUGUAUAUAUAUGUGUGUGUAGCAACCCUAAAUUCUAGGAGGUCUGUCCCAUUCCCCCAUCCUGCCACCGCCAGCUACAUCUCCCUCCUCGUGAUCCUCCAUGUCUAGAUCCGCCGCCACUGCUUCAUUCAACCAGCCAACACGGUUCAGUCAGAUCCAUCAAACUUGUCCAUUUGUGGUCAGUUCGGACAAACGGGAGGCCUCCUCGACGCAGCGACCGACAACCCCGCAAGGCCGAGUGCCUCAUUCCCCUCUUCUCUAGCCUCGAUCCAGGUUGGAUCAAAGCAGCACCGGCGAGCGCCACCACCAGGUCGAGACAAUCUCGAGCACCUGCCCCUGCUCCUUCUCUCCCUCAUCUCAUAUAUCUCUUUGUCUUGCAGCAUCAGUAUCGUGGGAGAGCCCGAGGCAGUCCUCACCGCCCAGUCGUCGCCCCAAGUUGUGCCUCCCUCUCUAGUGACGAAUCCAACACCAACGCCGUCCACGGGUCGCACCUCCUCCCGUCCUCGCGCCCACAAUCCCCAGACGAGAGGCUCCUGCACGACGAGCUCCUGGUCGAGCCCCGACACGUCACCAUCUUGCGGGUACACCUGCAUUUCCCCUACGCUCAUGUUGGAAAUAUGCCCCGACACGUCACCAUCUUGCGGGUACACCUGCAUUUCCCCUACGCUCCUGUUGGAAAUAUGCCCUAGAGGCAAUAAUAAAAUGGUUAUUAUUAUAUUUCCUUGUUCAUGAUAAUUGUCUAUUGUUCAUGUUAUAAUUGUAUUAACCGGAGACAUAAUACAUGUGUGAAUACAUAGAACACAACAUGCCCCUAGUGAGCCUAUACUUGGCUAGCUCGUUGAUCAAUAGAUGGUUAUGGUUUCCUGGCCAUGGACAUUGGAUGUCGUUGAUAACGGGAUCACAUCAUUAGGAGAAUGAUGUGAUGGACAAGACCCAAUUCUAAGCAUAGCACAAGAUCGUGUAGUUCGUCUACUAGAGCUUUUAUAAUGUCAAGUAUCAUUUUCUUAGACCAUGAUAUUGUGCAACUACCGGAUACCAUAGAGUGCUUUGGGUGUAUCAAACGUCACAACGUAACUGGGUGAUUAUAAAGGUGCACUACAGGUAUCUCCAAAAGUGUCUGUUGGGUUGGUACAAAUCAAGACUGGGAUUUGUCGCUCCGUGUGACGGAGAGGUAUCUCUGGGCCCACUCGGUAAUGCAUCAUCAUAAUGAGCUCAAUGUGUCUAAGGAGUUAGCCACAGGAUCAUGUGUUACGGAACGAGUAAAGAGACUUGUAGGUAACGAGAUUGAACAAGGUAUAGGGAUACCGACGAUGGAAUCUCGGGCCAGUAUCAUACUGGUAGACAAAGGGAAUUGCAUACGGGAUUGAGUGAAUCCUCGACAUCAUGGUUCAUCUGAUGAGAUCAUCAUGGAACAUGCGGGAGCAAACAUUGGUAUCCAGAUCUCGCUGUUGGUUAUUGGUCGGAGAGAUGUCUCGGUCAUGUCUGCAUGGUUCCCGAACCGUAGGGUCUACACACUUAAGGUUCGGUGACGCUAGAGUUGUAAUGGGAAUUGUAUGUGUGGUUACGAAGGUUUUUUCAAAGUCCCGGAUGAGAUCCUGGACGUCACGAGGAGUUCUGGAAUGAUCCGGAGGUAAAGAUUUAUAUAUGGGAAGUCCAGUUUCGGUCACCGAAAAGGUUUCGGGGUUUAUUGGUAUUGUACGAGGACCACCGAAAGGGUACCGGAGGUCCAUCGAGAGGGUCCACCUGUCCCGGAGGGCUGCAUGGGCCGAAAGUGGAAGGGAACCAGCCCCUCGUGUGUUGGUGCGUGCCAAGAGAGGAGGGCCCAAGGCGCCUAGGGCUAAGCCCUAGGGCGUGGGGCUGCCACCCACCCACUUGGGUGGCAAGCCACCCCUAGGGCGUCGCCGCCCCCUCCUCUUAGGGUUGUCGCCGCCCCUCCUAGGGGAACCCUAGGGUGGCCGUCCCCCUCUCCCUCCCUCCUAUAAAUAGAGAGGGUUUUGGGAGGGAUCCACAAAUCUUGAUCACCACCCCUGGGCGCAACCCUACCUCUCCACCUCUCCUCCUCCGUGGUGCUUGGCGAAGCCCUGUCGGGAACCACAAGCUCCAUUGACACCAUAUCGUCGUGCUGCCGGAGCUCUCCCUCAACUUCUCUUUCACCCUUGCUGGAUCAAGAAGGAGAAGACGUCCCCAGACUGUAGGUGUGUUGAAUGCGGAGACACCAAACGCUCGGUGUUAGGAUCGAAUCGCCGCGAGUACGACUCCAUCGACCGCGUUCAUAGUAACGCUUCCGCUUUGCGAUCUUCAAUGUUAUGAAGAUGAUCUUCCUCUCUCGUUGUUUGUUUCUCCUAGUUUGAUCUUGGUGACACGUAGGAAAAUUUUGAACUAUUACCACGUUCCCCAACAGCUCAAUCCCAAUGCCCGUGGAUCCGGCCUCUCCAAGCUCCGUCGUUCCAUUCCCGGCCUCCGCGCCCGCCGUCAUCGCCGGAGCAGCGCCCAGCCUGCCGACCUCUGAACCCCCACCAAGGCUUCUGUUUUGUCCUAGAUCCAUUCUGUCAUGCAUAGACAAUACGAUGUUAGUGCUAGUUUUGUACACGAACAUGUCGUAGCCGAGCUGGUCAACCCACAACGCUACAACCACGAGCUAAUGUGUUCGAUUCCCAGAUGUCCCAAUUUUUGUCAUGGUCGUUGCACUGUGCUGCUACUGUCUCGUAGUUGUUUUUAUUUAACGUGCGAAUUUGCUAGAUUUCAGAAACUAGCAUUACUUUGUAACGCCCGUAACUUUUCAACCGUGUGUCGGAUCAGAUUAAGUUAUAUAUGUAGAACAUGUAGAAUUUCGUGUAGAUUAAUAUUUUUCUAGCUCUCAUGCAUAUUUAAAACUGUUAGCCUUGCUGUUUGCAUUCGUUGCAUGUCGACGUGUUAGAAACGGUUUAGGUCGUAGUUAAUUAACCGUACCUCCGUUGGAGAUGAGCCAUAUAUGUAAAUGGACUAGAACGAUGAGUAGAAUCAUGUGAAUCACUUUGUUUUGCCGUUUAACAAACAUAAAAUGUCAUUAGCAUAGAUCUUGAUAGAUUACAAAGUUAACAUAUAGGGUCAUCUCGGAGAUGUUAUAUGUUGUUUCCGGCCUCAUUUAAAAUGCCUAGAUAGGUAGGUCAAUUGUGCUUCACCCCUUGAUGUGUUUAACAACAUUUAAUAUUUUCAUGUAAACAAAUGGGAGUGGACUAAAUAAUUAAAUGUGAAGUUUUGUCAAUAUGCAACUCGUUGCAUAGUGAGCUUCACUUAAUGUGUGGCGUUUGACUGUGUGGAUAGCCAUGCCAUGCCUUGCAUAUUUGAACUGGACAUGCAUCAUAUUAGGUUGUGCAUCAUGUCAUGCAUGUGGUGUGGUGAAUAUCGUGUGUUGAUUCUUGUUUCCGUUUUGCUUCGUCUCGAUAGAGUCCGAACCGCUUUGGAGUGUGAGGAUCCGUUCGACUACGUUGAUUCGUCUCCUUCACGGGGUCGUUAUUCUUCCAAGCAGGAUCUCACGCAAGAUGACCAUUUCCCUAUAUACCAUUACUAUCAAUGCCAUGCUAGUUGUCUUGUUUCUAUCGCUAUGUUUUGCUGCCUACCACAUGUUAAAUGUCAGCCUCUCGACAUCGCCAUGAAACCUUCAACCUUUUCACAACCUAGCAAACCAAUGUUUGGCUAUGUUACCGCUUCCUUAACCAUGUGUUAGGGUUGCUAGUUGCAGGUGCAAUUGCUUCCAUGUGAAAACAUGGGUUCCUUGUUUUAUCACCAUAUUUAUUGCUAUUUAAACUAAUGCACAUAUAUACUUGGUAAAAGGUGGAAGGCUCGUCUUUCUAGCCUGCUGUUUUGUUCCACCUUUGUCGCCUUAGUUUCGGCUACCGGUGCUAUAUUCCAUAAUUGAGCGCUCCUAACAUGAUCGGGGUUGUUAUGGGGACCCCCUUGAUAAUUUGUCUUAGUUUAAAACUGAUCUGACAAGGCCCAACUUUGGUACUACAUUUGCCUAAUAACUAAUGAACCACAUAGGGAGUAAUUAACCCAAGAAAAUUUAAUCAACUCCCGGGCCAGUGCUCCUCAUGAGUGUUGGUCCGAAAUAGAGCAAUGUGCGGGGCCAACCCAGGGUAACUUGGGUGAUUUCCAUCAGGUCACUGUACGCGUAGCUUAUCCGCCGUGUCCUGAGAACGAGAUACGCGGCUCCUAUCGGGAUCGUCGACACGUCGGGCGGCCUUGCUGGAUUAGUUUUACCUUUGAAGAAAUAUCUUGUGCAUCGGGAUUCCGUUGAUGCUUUGGGCUAUCUUAGAGUUGAGGUUUUCCACUAAGGAAUCCGAGGAGAUCACGAGUUUCGUGAUUGAGGUUUUCUAUGUGGCUUCUGGUUAUUUGUGAUGGACUAGUUGGAGCACCCCUGCAGGGUUAAAUCUUUCGGAAAGCCGUGCCCGUUAUUAUGUGGCAACGUGGAAACUUUGUUUAACAUCUUGUUCUAGAUAACUUGAAGUUAAAUUAAUUAAAAGUUGUGAAUUGAGUGCGUAACCGUGACUGUAUCUUUCGUGAGCUCCUUCUCCGAUCGAGGACAUGGUGGGGUUAUGUCUGACGUAAGUAGGUGUUCAGGAUCAUUCAUUUGAUCAUUAUUAGUUCACAUCCAAUAUGCAUUGAUCAUCCCCCUCUUUUAUUCUUGUACUCGUAAGUUAGCCACCUCAAAUAAAUGCUUAGUCGCUUGAUGCAGCCUCACCACUUAACCAUACCUCACCCAUUAAGCUUUGCUAGUCUUGAUACCUUUGGAAAUGAGAUGGUUGAGUCCCUGUGGCUCACAGAUUACUGGAACACCAGUUGUAGGUACAGGUAAAGAGUUACUUUGACGUGAGUGUGAUGAUUGGCUAUUUGGAGUUUCUUUUUCUUCUUCUUCGAUCUAGGAUGGGUUCCAGGCCGGCAGGCUGGGAUAGCAAGGAUGGACGUCGUUAUUUUAUCGUUUGUUUUCAUCCGUAGUCGGACCCUCCUCUUCUUCAUGAUGAUUGAUUAUUUUGUUGUAUUAUGUGACUCUGAUGUAGCUUGUGGCGAGUGCAAGCCAAUUCCAUAUACUCAUCUUUUCAGUACAUGUACUUGUAACAAUAUCCAUUCUUGCAAAAUGACGAGAUGCGUUUCUAUCCCUGUUAAGGCCCUCUAGCCAAAAUAAAGAUAGGACCACAUCUUGGGCAUUACAAGUUGGUAUAAGAGCAGUACUGACCUAGGAGCCCCCUUGAUUGAUCGAACUUGGCUGAGUCAUGUCUAGCGAAAAACUAUUUUGAGUCUUAGUUAUAUCAGAGAGUAGGUUUAUUUUUCUCCUCGUCUAUGCUCUGGUGAGGUUCACGACUUAGGAAAUUUUAAUUCUACUCCUCUUCUCACUCAAUUUUUUUUAAGAUCACGCGGAUAUUUUGGAAUCAAUAUGAUGUCGAUGUGACGGAGUUCUGACUUUGUGCCUCGUGUUGUGUUGAUUUUAUUCCGAGGAGUUGAGCUCCAGGGGAUUCUUGGGCACAUCAUUAUCAUUCCGAUUUCUUAGUAUCUCAGUACGAGGAUGUUUGAAAUUGCUUCAAUACUACUAGUGGCGAGAGGAGUGUGGCUUCCCCAGUACUGGUGCAGAUAGAUCCGGAUGUAUUGCCAUACUUAGUAUCAUUGUGAUUAUGAGGAUCCGAGAUAGAUGACUUUCCGAGGUCUAUGGUUAUGUGUUGACGGAUGUGAUAUACUGGACGUGUAGUGUUACUGCUAGGAGUUGAGUGAUGGAUUUUACUCCUUGUAUCCGUGGACCCGAUUGCAUGACCAGAAAAAUUCGGAAGUUCUUAGGUGGGAAUUCAAGUAGUUACUUAUAGGACAAUCUUCCAACAGAUGCAUGAUGUGAGGUUGGGGUUCGACAUCUAGUGGAUUCGUUUAUUCACGGUCGUCUUACAAUGGUUCUCGUUGUGUCUGAACGAUGCGAGGGAGCGGAAAAUGAAUUUCGGGCAGACCCGAUUGAUAUGUUUGAAAUUGAUACACAUGUGAAGAGACUUGUCCUUCUUGGGGACCAUGACGACAUUUGCGAGCCACUCGGAAUAGUAAACUUCGCGUAUGAACUUCGCCUCCAGGAGUCGAGCCACCUCCUCGUCGAUUGCUUUAGGUUUCUCUGCUGCGGACCGACGCAAAUGCUCUUUGACAAGCUUUUCUUUUGGAUCAACUCUUAAUCGGUGCUCGACUAGUUCCCUAGGUACACCCGGCAUGUCACAGGGCUUCCAUGCAAAGAUGUCCCAGUUCUCAUGGAGGAACUGGACGAGCUCGGCUUCCUAUUUGCUAUCGAGUGUCGUCCAUAUGUUGGUCGGGGCAGCAUUGGGGUCCGUCGGGUGGAUUCUCACUUUUUCACUUCACCCACCGGCUGAAAAGUAGACUCCAAAGCGGGCUUCUUGGAGCACAUCAAAUUGGCAGGAUCAGUGUUCUUUCGAUAUUCCUCCAGCUCAACCAUAGCCAUCUGCUGAUCGGCGAUCUUGGAGCCUUGUUGUAAGCACUCCUCAGCUCUUUGUCGAUUCCCUAUUAAUGUGAUUACACCCUUGGGUCCAGGCAUCUUCAUCUUGGGAUACACGUAACACGGGCGGGCCAUGAAAUGGGCAUAGGCUGGAUGACCAAGGAUGGCAUGAUAUGCACUCUGAAAGUCCACAACUUCAAACGUUAACUUCUCCUUGCGAAAGUUCUUGUUAGUGCCGAAUACCACAUCCAACGCAAUCUGGCCGAGUGACGUGGCCUUUUUCCCAAGGAUGACUCCAUGGAACUGCAUAUUGCUUUUGCUGAGUCGGGACAUUGGAAUGCCCAUUCCCUUAAGGGUAUCUGCAUACAGAAUGUUCAAACCACUCCCUCCAUCCAUCAAAACCUUGCGAAGACAAACGCCUCCCACAACUGGGUCUACCACCAAAGCUUGUCGACCAGGGGUAGCGACGUGAGCAGGGUGAUCUGAUGAUCAAACAUUAUGGGGGUCUAAGACCACUUGAGGUAUGUGGGGUGGUGGGGAUAGCCAUGUUGACCUCUCUGUUUAUAACUUUCAAUCGACUUUUUCUCUCUACAUCAGUAAAAAUCAUCAAAGUGGCAUUGACUUCUAGAAAAUCAUCUUUUUCCUCAUCCUCCUUUUCAGGAGUUUUCUCACACGACCGAUCUGCUUUGAACUGUUGAAUUAGCAACCUGCACUGACGAGUGGUAUGCUUGGGCAAUAUCAAAUUGUCGUCUUCAUCUUUCUUCGUGUGGAUUGCACAUGGCAAAUCUAGGACAUUUGUUCCCGACUGAUUCUUUGACUUCUUGGGGAGGAAAUGUCCUUUGGACUUCCCCUUAUUCUUUCCGUGUGCCGCCAGAGCGUUUGCUUCUGCCUGAACAGAACCAUCAACCUUGCGCUUCUGUUUCCGAUUGGAAUUUCCACCACCAACAUCAUUGUCGACUGCCUUUCCCUUACCGCUGCGAAGGCGGUCUUCUUCUUCGCCAUUGGCGUAUGGAUUGGCAAUCUCCAUCAUCUUGCUCAUUGACAUGUCACUUGUUCGACCAAACUUCAGAUAAAGUUCCUUGUACCUGACACCAGCCUUGAAGGUGCAGACUGCUUGAUGCUCAGAAACUUUUUCUAUCGUGUGAUAGAGGGUGGUCCAACGCUAGAUAUAAUCUCGCACAGAUUCAUUCGGCUUAUGCACACAAUGAUGUAGCUCGGACAAACCAGCAGGAAGUUUGCACAUGCCCUCGAAAGUUUUGAUGAACACUCGGGCCAGGUCCUCGUAGCAAUAGAUGCUAGAAGGGGGCAACUGAUUCACCCACACCCGAGCCGAACCAUCCAACAUCACGCACAAAUGCUUCAUGGCAACGUUGUCGUUUCCUCCACCAAUCUGCACUGCCACUCGGUAAUCAUCCAGCCAUGUUUCAGGCUUUGAUUCUCCUGUAAACUUGCUUAUUCCAACCGCCAAUCUGAAGUUGGUGGAAUAUUAGUGGAUCGAAUAGCUCUGCUGAAACACUCGAGACCAGAGACAACGGCCCCACUUCCACUCAGACGAUCUCUAUCAUAACCAUCUUUGUGGGCCCUGCCCCUUUCAAUCUACCUCUGAGCGAGUACAUUCAUUGCAUCGAACCCAGGACUCCGCUCAUCGCCGAACGAGCGUCUAUCGUCGUAGUGUCGGGGCACAUACGAACCACUCCGCGGGGGAGAAUGCACUCAACGAUAGUAAUCAUGGUGAUAACAAGGAGCAAACUGAUUUCACCCAUGAUCUUUGUACUGAUCUUCAUGGUAACCUCCGCCCGUGUGAUGCUGAGGUGACUCUNNNNNNNNNNNNNNNNNNNNNNNNNNNNNNNNNNNNNNNNNNNNNNNNNNNNNNNNNNNNNNNNNNNNNNNNNNNNNNNNNNNNNNNNNNNNNNNNNNNNUGAUAACGCCCACAUGUGUCGCAUCUUUACACUUCAUCCACAUGCCUUAGUCUUCGUUAGUUCUGUUUUGCACGAAUCUUGACGAUUUGAGAUGAAAUUAGAGUGCCAUGUAGGAGUAGUGUGUUGUGUGGGGGGGUAGAGCGCUGACCCACAUGACCCGUGGCACACGGUUGCCAGCUGCGUCGCGUGGGUGAACACGUCCUCGCCCACAUGGACACCAUCUGAUCCACGCCGUUUGGGUGCACUGUCCUUCGUCCACACAACGCUUGUAUGAUGAUAGAUGGCAACUAGUGGUGUGCAUAUGUGGCAACUAGUUAAUCACACAUGGUAACUAUGGUUGACCAUACAUGCAACUAUGGUUGGACCACACGUGACAACUAGUUAGUUAAAUAUGACAACUAUGGUUGACCAUACAUGACAACUGUGGGUUGACCACACGUGGCAACUACCGUUAAUUAGAUAUGGCAACUAUAGUUAACCAAAACAAGAAGUUGACAUGUUUUACAACUAAAGUUGUCAUCCAUGGAUAACUACAUUUGUAAUCCCCCGGACUACUAAAGUUGCCAUCAAAAAAUGUUGCAAUACAAGAUCGCAUGCGUGGGUGUGUGGCACAAAGUAGUUGUUGUUGUUGGUAUGAGUAGUUGUUGUUGGGCAUGUGGCACGAAGUAGAUGUGCCUACACGUGUGAACAAUUCUAAUGUUCGCCAAUACAUGACCAUAUGUAGUGGCAGAGCCAGGGGUAUUCCUGGACAUUCCAUGGAAUAUCAAAGCAUUUGGACCCAAAAAAUUGACUAUACAUAUUAUACACUCGAGCCCGAACAACCCAUCCAGCCACACAUGAGACGGGAGCCACUCUUCCUCGAUCGAUGCAAAUCGCCAAACCUAGUUGAUUGUCGACGGCUCCGGCGCAAGCAAGGUCCGGCGACCAAAGGCGGGCCCUCUGCCCCUCCGGCCCUCUCCCUUCCCUUCAACCCUCCCCUCCCCUCUCGCCCUCCCCUUCGCUAGUCCGCCAACUGCCUAUGUGGUUGUGGUCCGUUCGGGGUUGCACCGCUGCAAGCCUCCUCUAGACUUUGUCGCCGUCGACGGUGAAAACAUCAAUCCGCCAGCCGCCAGGCUACAAGGAGAAGCCAUCCAGUCCAUCCGGUAUUGCGUCCAUCUACAAAUUACCAAGGUAAUUUUUCUUUGUUUUUAAACAAAUCUAAAGCUUUUUCUUUUUGUAAAUUUCCACUUUUAGAAGCCACUGAUCUACAACAGAAUGAUUGCUACUUUGUUCUUGAAUAAAGUAUAAUUGUUUGUCGAAUUGUCCAUCUGUCCAUGCCACAUUGCCAUUGAUUUCUACUUUUUAUAUAAAUCGUAAACGUUUCUCCAUUGAGUCCAUGCCACUUAUUUCUACUUUAUUUGUGUGGUGUAGAUGAAGAAGAAGUAUGUUGGCAUAUUUGAAAUGGAGGACAGAUCUUCAAAUUAAGACAAGAAAAACAACUUCUACAUCCAUAUUUGUUGUUUUGUUAUAUUGCGUUGGCCAAAACAAAUACUACUAUUAUUCAUUUGUAUGGUCAUCGAGUCAUUGAUAUUGCCACAAUAUUAUUUUGUGGCAUCGAUGUAUUGUUGUUGUUAGAGCUAUCGAGUCAUAAUACACAUUUAUUGUUCUAUUAUCUUGCUCACGCAAAAAAAUACAAGAAUACCCAAGAGCAAAUUUCACCAUAUGGAUCGCCUUUCUGAAUAUGCCACACACGGUGUAUGGUCAGAUGUUCUUUAUGCCAUACAUAUGAUGAAUAUCACGAUCAAAAUAUAAGGCCAAGUGUAUCGUAUGUGUUGUUCCCACAACUAAUUGAAUUAGCUCAGGGUGAUUAGUUUGUUAAUCACGCGCAACUCGACAUGGUGCAAGUGUGACCGUGCAUGCAAGCAAUAAGCUAGUAUGGCGUCGGCGGUGUGACAAACCAUGUUUGCAAGAUUUUCAAGGCUUUAAACAACUACUCCCUCCGUUCCUAAAUAUAAGUCUUUUAAGCGAUUUUACUAGGGAUCUACAUACGGAGCAAAAUGAUUGAAUCUACAUUCUAAAAUAUGUCUAUAUACAACCGUAUGUAAUAUACUAGUAAAACCUCUAAAAAGGCUUAUAUUUAGGAACGGAGGGAGUACUCCCUUUCCUUCAUUCCUAAAUAUAAAUUUUAAAACAUCACUUGUAAUUAUAUACGAAAAAAAAUAACUGAAUCUAUGCUUUAAAUAUGUUUAUAUACAUUUAUAUAUACACCUACUCCCUUUUCUUCNNNNNNNNNNNNNNNNNNNNNNNNNNNNNNNNNNNNNNNNNNNNNNNNNNNNNNNNNNNNNNNNNNNNNNNNNNNNNNNNNNNNNNNNNNNNNNNNNNNNAUGAUCAACACCAUAAUGCUAUGGGUGUUCGAUACAUCACAAUGUAACUAAAUUAUUGACUCUAGUGCAAGUGGGAGACUGUUGGAAAUAUGCCCUAGAGGCAAUAAUAAAAUGGUUAUUAUCAUAUUUCCUUUUUCAUGAUAAUCGUCUAUUGUUCAUGCUAUAAUUGUAUUAACAGGAAACAGUAAUACACGUGUGAAUAAAUAGAUCACAACGUGUCCCUAGCAAGCCUCUAGUUGGCUAGCUCGUUAAUCAAUAGAUGAUCAUGGUUUCCUGAUCAUGGACAUUAGAUGUUAUGAUAAAGGGAUCACAUCAUUGGGAGAAUGAUGUGAUGGACAAGACCCAAUCCUAAGCAUAGCACUAGAUNNNNNNNNNNUACAUUAGAUGUUAUUGAUAACGGGAUCACAUCAUUGGGAGAAUGAUGUGAUUUACAAGACCCAAUCCUAAGCAUAACACUAGAUCGUAUUGUUCGUAUGCUAAAGCUUUUCUAAUGUCAAGUGUCUUUUAAUUCAACCGUGAGAUUGUGCAACUCCCGGAUACCGUAGAAGUGCUUUGGGUGUACCAAACAUCACAACGUAAUUGGGUGACUAUAAAGGUGCACUACGGGUACCUCUCAAAGUGUGUGUUGGGUUGGUACGAAUCGAGAUCGGGAUUUGUCACACCGUGUGACUGAGAGGUAUCUCUGGGCCCACUCGGUAGAACAUCAUCAUGAGCUCAAUGUGACUAAGGAGNNNNNNNNNNNNNNNNNNNNNNNNNNNNNNNNNNNNNNNNNNNNNNNNNNNNNNNNNNNNNNNNNNNNNNNNNNNNNNNNNNNNNNNNNNNNNNNNNNNNAAGAUAGAAUUCAGCUUCCUCUGUCAAGAUGGUCGAUGGAUCAGUAUCAGAGGAAAAAAAGGAGCUUACGGUGCUGAGGAGUAAGGACCACUAGUGUAAAAGUGGGAGGUGGCACAUGCUUAUGGUAGUCAUCAUAAGCCGCGUGGUAUUUGGUGAGGUCAAUACCCUCAGCAAGCAGGCUCACUGCUAGACGAACCUCCCUCAAGCACUGGGAGUGAACUGUGAGCCAUCAUCUUUAUACUCAGGAAACACGCGUGCUAUUUCUUCCGGCUUGAGUUCUAGAGCAUAAGCCAAAGACUACCUCAUAGCAGUGAUUAGACCUUUCCGUGCAUCCGAUUUCUUAAUUUCUUCUAUAUGCUUGGGUAUGGUCGAGAGUCGUUUCAGCAUAUCACUGAUGAACUUUACUGGCUCUGUGUUACCCCACACAACCUUGAUGGUGAAUAAGCCGCCAGCAUAGAGUUGCUCCGUCAGGGUAUAUAAAGCUUUCAGCUUUAGCACACAAUUGUCUUGAAUAUUGGCGGAUCAAGGGUCUGUAAUGAAAAAUAUGGAAUAUAAGUCGCGUGGCGGUUUGUGUUCUUUACAAUGGUUGCAAUGGACAAUGUACAAAAUACUUACCAAAGACAACAUUGGUCAUCUUGGAGAUAUGUCGCCGUAGACCAGCCAAUUCUUCCGUAACCAGUUUCAGCUGGCCCUUGGUGUUUUCAGCAUGUUUCAACGGAGAGGCUUUGUUAGCUUCGUCCGAAUCUCUAUAUAAUAUUUUCUCAGCCUUGAUCUUUUCAACUUCUGCCAAAGAAACUCGAAGUUUUUCCUCAGCUGCAGCCCUGGCGUCUUGUUGCAGUGCCAGAUUUUUCUUCAUGUCAUUCAAGUAUGAGUCAGCUUGGCCUACAAAUUCCUAUACGAUCAAACAAGAUGGAUAAAUUAAAAAUAUUCUUUUCACUAAAACCAGAGGCAAAUAUUUUCAAAAUAGUAAUGUAGAUUUAUCAGCAUAGGGCAACAUAUUUAAAGUGAGUUUGUGCUCUAUUUUUGAGUGAGCUACUUAUUAAUUCAUUAUUUACUACAACGAUAGAUACCACGUUUGACGAAGGAGUUGGACUCGAAGACCCCGAAGACCCCUAAUACUUAGCUCAUCAAGGCAAGCAACCCUUUGACCACGUUUGAGCAAAUAUUAUAUUGCAUGCUAGUCGAGUAAUUAUUCCCGUUGCAUAUGAUCAUGAAUAUUUGGUAAAUCAUCGAUAUGAUGUUUCCGAUGGCUCCUCCGGAGCACUUGCAUUUAGGCAUGAUCCUGCCACCUAUGAGGGUCACGCUAAUAUCAUGUUGACAAGUAGAUCUAAGCAUAGUAGAAGCAUGAGCAUGAUGAUGGUAAUUAUUAAAGGUUUAUGAAAACCCCGUCGGGUGCCACUAAUGCCCGAGGGUGAUGAUGAGUUAGGUGGCCACUUGUGAAGAAGUGGUGCACUAGGUGUAUUUUGGUGUAAGUGGUAACGGAAAUGGUAUUAGAUUCAUGAUGUGUCAACCGUCCCAACCUUACAUGUGCGACCAUGUUACCCCUUUAUGGGACGGGGCCUUGUUGAUUACUCUGAUCGGUUCUAGAAAAUAGCCACAUUACUAGUGGCGGGAGUGAUAUGUGGUCACUCUCGUGACGGGGUCGUGCCAGGUAGGGCGACUAUGCCAUUUUUACAUGUUCCGAGCACACCGUUGGUCCCCGCAUGGAUGAUACUGUCCAGAGUCGGUGCUCGUAAGGCGUACAUCAUGUGGGCUGGGUACCAAUCGAGUGGACCUCUUUCUCUAGUGUUGGGGAUAUUACCUGCGGUGUAACNNNNNNNNNNNNNNNNNNNNNNNNNNNNNNNNNNNNNNUUCCCGGGGGUUAACCCCGCCAUAACUGGGCCGCGUCAGUAAAGGGGGACUCAUACAUGGUUAAUGCAAGCCUUAGCUCAGGGGCCCAUGAACUGGAUGACGGUUCAGAAUUGAUGCAGAAGAUAAGCCGCCAAGGAAGUUUCCAGUCUUGGAAAGCACGGCGACUUAGAGAUAUAGAAGACCACGAUCUGUAGCGUGGCUAGGACUUUUGUAAACCCUAGGGCCUCGACCUAUAUAUAAAGGCGAGUCUCUGGGGAAGAUAGAGCAGGUUAGAAAUCAUCGAGAGCUAGGUGAGGCGAGUUACGCCCUCCUUGUAAUCGAAUCCAUCAUCGAUCUACACAAAGAAGGAUGUAGGCUUUUACCUCCACACGAGGGGCCGAACCUGAUUAAAUCUGAGUCUCGCUUUCGCUCACCCCCUUUGAGUCGCCACCAAGGUGCGAUGGCUCCUUCACUCUGUCCUUUCACGAGGACAUCUGUCGUGACAAAACCACGACAGUUGGCGCCCACCGUGGGGCUAGCGCAUGGUGGUGUUGAGUUCUCAUAGGGAGCCCUUGCAGGGUCAGGAAGCUAUGCGGUCGACAUCAUGACGAAAAGCCGCCGUGGAAAUACUACAUCGACAACUCGAAGUGGGGGCCUGAAGCCGAUUCGGUCAAAUCUGGUUACAGGGUCCACUUCGGCAAGAUCCACGUCUUCAUCGGCAAGAUUGGGACGGCUGUACCUGAGCCGGACACCUUCACCGACAUCGUCGAGCCGGCCCGGUACGCCCACCCCAUCACUCACCAGGACAAGGUAUGGUGCGUUUUCGUCGGCUUUACGCAGAGAGCUAGCCUACAGGACGAGUCGGUGGUCCAGGAGAUCACCCCCGUCAACUCGGAUGACGAGUCAUGUAUGGGCGACACAGAUUCAAUCCAUCCUCUCUACGAGGGACAACUCGGAUGGUUGCCUCGGGCGGCAAACUCGGAGGACUUCGCGGGACCCCAUCGACAAGUCGCCAUCUAUAUGGCGGGGCGGCACCGCCUCAGCCAAACCCGGCCCGCAACAAUGAGACGGGCGGGUUGUCGAAAGCUUUGGCUCAAGUCAUGGUGGACUUGGCGGCAGAAAUCACCAAACUCAUGGCAAUUGUUAUAACAAUGGAGAAUCAGGAAACGAUCAAUGCUGAACUAGCAAAGCUGCGGUUGGGGAUGGCCAAGACUCAGCGGGACGUGGAAGCGGAAGCCGCCAGGAUGGGAGCACAGCAUGCCCGGAUCAUCGCGGAGACAGAACGGCUGAACACCGAAGGCUGCCGGCUCGAGCGACAACAGCGCGCGUCCGAUGCUAUCCACAAGAGGAGGCAUCAUGGUCGCCUCCCGGCCGAUCUACAUCCGACUCGCCUCUUCGACACUCCACACACUCCUGGGAUGGGACCCGAUCGGCCUUGGCAGGCCGCUCCAGGGGAGGGUCCGGUUCAACCACCGCCUAACCCGUCACCACCUCAGCCAACAGAAGCCCACGCACCUCGCUUCCAGACACCACGAGGCCACUUGGAGUCCCUCCCAAUUUAUGGAAACUCCCCUGCCGAAGUGGAGGCAAGAAACGCCCAAACGGCGGUGGUCCAACAUGCGCAAUAUUCGCACAGCCGUGACCGACUACACUCUACACCCUAGACGAGUCACACCAAGAGUCGCCAUGAGGAUCAGCCUGCGGUGACCAGCGAGCAACGACGUCCACCACAGACCAACCCGCCUGGGAUGCACGAUACCCGAGCCCAAGACAUUGUGGAUGCAGCGCGAGCCGCCCGCCUGAUGGAGACGACGGCUGCGGCGGGUCAAGGCUAUCCGUCUUAUACCCAAACCCCUCCCACAUCGAUCGAUAUAGGCGGCAAGCACAUUGGGGUGCCCUGUCUCAUGCCCGCUCUCCGUAACGAGCGAAUGCCAAAGGAUUUCAAGGGACCGAGGAAGGUACCCAAUUACACACCAGAUCUCGAGCCAGGGUCAUGGAUCGAGACUUACGAGCUUGCAAUGGAUAUGCUCGAUGUGAAUGAGGCUGUCUGCACCAAGUAUUUUACCAUGAUGCUUGAUGGAAUGGCACGCACAUGGUUGAAAAACCUGCCUCCUAACUCCAUCAACACUUGGGCAGAGUUGAAAGAACGUUUCAUCAAGAAUUUCCGAGGGAAUUGCAAAUGCCCAAUGACCAUCGUCGACUUACAACACUGCGUUCACCGACCGGACGAGUCGGCCCAUCAUUGGACAGGGCGAGUUGCAGAGGUCAUUCGUUCGUCUGACGACAUCUCGGCGGCUCAGGCAGUGCUAAUUCUGGAGAAAAAUUGCCAUUACAAGCCUUUGGUGCUGAAGCUUGGGCGACUCAAGCAUAAGGUGCAGGACAUGGGCGAGUUGAUGGACACCCGGCCUGACCAGGUACGCCGAGUUAGAUGACACUAAGGACCCCAGGGAAGAUGAUGAUAAGGUUAGCACCCCUAGUAGAGGCGAGUCAUCGAAGGGUCACUCCCAGUUCCAGGGGUGGGGAAACCACAACCACGUUGGGCAAAGUAAGAGGAGACAACAAGAAGGUCCCACAGACUUCAUCGCCAAUACGAAUGCGGGCAACGGGAACCAACACCAGAAGAAACGGGGCUUCAGCAGGNNNNNNNNNNNNNNNNNNNNNNNNNNNNNNNNNNNNNNNNNNNNCAGCAGGAAGAAGCCGCGCAACUAUCACGAGAUGCUCAAAGGCCCCUGCCCACAGCACGCCACGGCCGAAGGACCGACUACCCACUCUUGGGAGGAUUGCUAUGUGAUGCAGGAGUUCCGAGCUGAGGCGCUCAAGAAAGGUCAAGGAGGUGACCAAGGCGGGCGACAGGAACAGUUCGGCGCGCCCAGGUCAAACCGAAGCCCGUUCAGUGGAUUCCCUAACCCGGACCCGCAUGGCGGGUCACAAUCUAAUGCCGGACAAUACCAGGUCCACAAUCAACAGCGGUACAACCCGCAUGGCGUGUUCCAGCAACCACCCCCGCAGGGAGAUCCCCAGCGGCAGGUUGACAAUGGCGGCUUUCAGAAUAAUCCUAAGCAACUGAACAAUGGGCAGGAUCACGUGUUCACCACUAGCGUGUUCCAGCAACCACCCCCGCAGGGAGAUCCCCAGCGGCAGGUUGACAAUGGCGGCUUUCAGAAUAAUCCUAAGCAACUGAACAAUGGGCAGUAUCACGUGUUCACCACUAGCACUUGAAAACGGGACCAAAAGGUGAAACAUAGAACUUUUAGCGUGGUUGGGCCGGCGCUCCCCAUGUACCUCAAUUGGUCUGAGCAACACAUUACCUGGAGUAGGGAAGAUCACCCGCCCCGAGUUGAUAACCCUGGCGACUUGGCUUUGGUCGUGGCUCCCCAAGUCGGAGGAUACACCGUUUCCAAAGUCCUUAUGGAUGGUGGCAGCAGCAUAAACAUCUUGUACUUUGAUACCUUCUGAACGAUAAACCUCUUAGUCAAAAACUUGAUGCCAUCCUCCACUGUUUUCCACGGCGUUGUUCCGGGUAAGUCGGCGUACCCUAUUGGGCGGAUUAAACUUAACGUGGCUUUUGGCACAGAUUCUAAUUACAGGAGCGAGUCACUCAUGUUUGAGGUGGUCAAAAUCAAUAGCCCUUACCAUGCAUUGUUUGGAAGGCCGGCAUACGCUCGGUUCAUGGAUCGCCCAUGUUAUGUUUAUCUUAAGCCCAAAAUGCCUGGUCCCAGGGGGACCAUCACAAUCAAUGGUGACAGGAAAAUAGCCCAAGAAUGCGAGGAAGGGAACGCAGCUUAUGCCGAGACGGCUUGCGCGGCCGAGGAGCUCAAAUUUCACCAAGCCAAUGUUGACCCGGAAGAUAUGACGCCGCUCAAGAGACCGACAAUCGACUCGGAGCCGCCCAUCAAGUUUAAAUCAACGAAUGACACGAAGGUGAUAGACUUCACGCCUAGCGACUCAACCAAGCAGUUCACCAUCGUAACGGGUCUGGAUCCCAAAUAGGAAAGCGCGCUCAUUGAAUUCAUCCAUGAGAAUCGGGACAUCCUCGCAUGGAAGCCUUCAGACAUGCGAGGUGUAGCGAGAGAAUUCGCUGAGCACCAUCUUAAUAUUGACCCCAAAGUCAAGCCUGUUCGGCAGUAUCUUCGCCGGUUUAACGAGGAACGGCGCAAGGCAAUCGGAGAGGAAGUCGUCCGGCUUUUGGCCGCCGGGUUCAUCAUUGAACUUUUCAACCCUGAAUGGUUGGCUAACCCGGUCCUGGUGCUAAAAAAGAAUGGCACCUUCCGUAUGUGAAUUGACUAUACCGACCUCAACAAGGCCUGUCCAAAGGAUCCCUUCGCCCUUCCCCGCAUCGAUCAAAUCAUUGACUCUACGGCGGGUUGCCAGUGGUUGUGUUUUUUGUAUGCUUACUCAGGACACCACCAGAUCAAGAUGGCUGUGGCGGGCCAGGAGAAAACAUCCUUCAUAAGCCCCUUCAGAGCUUUCUGUUACGUGUCCAUGCCGUUCGGGCUCAAGAGUGCGGGGGCGACUUAUCAGCGUUGCAUCCAGAAUUUUUUGCAUAGGCAGAUCGGACGCAAUGUUCAGGCCUAUGUUGACGACAUCGAAGUCAGGUCCCAGAAGGAGUCACUCUUGGAGGAUCUCAAGGAGACUUUUGACAAUUUGCGCGUAUACCAGAUGAGGCUUAACCCUACCAAGUGUGUUUUUGGUGUUCCUGCAGGAAAGUUAUUGCGUUUUCUGGUGUCAAAGCGAGGCAUUGAAGCUAACCCGGAUAAAAUUGAAGCGAUCACUUUGCUAGGCAAGCCGGCCAAUAUCAAUCAAGUUCAGCGCAUGGCGGGUCGCAUGCUCUAAGUCGCUUUAUAAGUCGCCUUGGGGAGAAAACUAUACCUCUUUAUCAGUUACUCAAGAAAACUGAUCGUUUUGUUUGGACGGAUGAAGCCAACGAAGCCUUUGAAGCCCUGAAGCAACAAUUAGCUAAGCCGCCGGUAUUGGCUGCUCCGACAGACAAGGAGCCUAUGCUCUUGUACAUCGCGGCUAAUUCUAAGGCAGUGAGUGUGGCAAUGGUCGUCGAGCGAAAAGAAGAAUGAAAUGAAUAUCCGGUUCAACGACCAGUAUAUUUUAUCUGCGAAGUCCCGACCCUCUCCAAACAACACUAUCCGCAUUGGCAGAAGUUGAUCUUUGGGGUGUUUAUGGCGAGCCGGAAGCUGAAACACUACUUUCAAGAGCAUCACAUCACGGUGGUUAGUUUUGCCCCUCUUGGUGAUAUUAUACAAAAUAGAGAAGUGAAUGGACGGAUUGCUAAGUGGGCCAUUGAGUUAGGACCUCACCAUGUGCGAUAUACCCCUCGUACGACCAUUAAGUCUCAAGCACUAGUGGAUUUCAUCAACGACUGGAUCGAGUUGCAGAUUCCAGAAGACAAGCCUGAUCACACAUACUGGACCAUCCAUUUUGACGGGUCUAGGCAGUUGGAAGGCUCCGGGGCUGGCGUGGUGUUAACUUCGCCUCAAGGUGACAAAUUCUGCUAUGUCCUCCGACUCAUGUUUCUAUGUACCAACAAUGCAGCAUAAUAUGAAGCUCUGCUCCAUGGGUUGCGACUCGCCAAAGAGAUGAACCUCACCCGAGUCAGAUGUUUGGGCGACUCAGAUUUAGUAGCACAGCAGGUUUCUGGCACUUGGGAUUCUAGAGAUCCCUUGAUGGCGGCUUACACGCGAGAUGUGUUGGACGUGGCGGGUCAUUUUCAUGGUUAUCAGGUGGAUCACAUUGAUCGGCGACUUACUGAAGAGGCAGAUGGCCUUUCACGCCUCGGUUCACAACGUAAGACGGUCCCCCCCAAUGUCUUUUUGGAUGUGUUACAUAACCCAUCGGUAAGGCUGCCUUCAGAGGAAGAUUUGGCGGUGCCAGAUCCUGAGUCUCAACUUGUGGCGGCUCUUCGUGCUACCCCGGAUUGGGCGGUUCCCUAUAUGGCGUAUCUCACACGAGGCGAGUUACCCACUGAUGAAUUGUUGGCUCGCCAAAUCGUCCGUUGAUGCAAGUCCAUGGUCAUACACAACGGCGAGUUGCAUAAGCGAAGCACUUCAUGAGUAUUUCAAAGGUGUGUCUCUUCCGAGGUAGAAUGUAUGAUUCUCAAUGAAAUUCAUGCAGGUGACUGUGGUCAUCAUGCCGGGUCACGCUCCCUGGUUUCUAAAGCUUUUAGGCAUGGAUUUUAUUGCUUGAUAGCUCAUGCAGAUGCUGAAGAUAUAGUUCGCCAAUGUGAUGGUUGCCAAAAAUUUGGGGGUCAGAUGCACGUGCCGACUCAGGAAUUACGGAUGAUUCGAAUCACAUGGUCGUUUGCAGUCUGGGGGCUGGACAUGGUUGGUCCUUUCAAAAUGUCGUCCAACAAAAAGACUCACCUAUUGGUGGCAGUUGACAAGUUUACCAAGUGGGUCGAAGCAGAACCAGUUAGUAGUUGUGAUGAAGACACGGCUGUCAAAUUCCUGAAAAAGUUGAUCUUCCGUUUCGGAUAUCCUCAUAGUAUCAUUACUGAUAAUGGUACUAAUCUAUAAAAGGGCGCGAUGCAAGAGUUUUGCGGAAGGGAGCAUAUCCGGCUUAAUGUUUCUGCAGUCGCACACCCUCAGUCUAAUGGACACGCAGAAAGGGAGAAUCAAUAAAUAUUGCAAGGAAUCAAGCCCCGGCUUAUGGUACCUCUGGAACGUACCCCACGGUGUUGGGUUGAAGAAUUUCCCUCGGUUUUAUGGAGCAUCAGGACCACCCCAAAUUUCUCUACGGGUUUUACUCUUUGUUUCCUGGUCUACGGGGCAGAGGCAGUAUUGCCAAGUGAUAUCAGAAACGAUUCACCACGAGUUGCCGCUUAUGUGCAACAAGACAACGAGUUAGCACGUCAAGACUCGUUGGAUGCUUUGGAGGAAGAGCGAGACUUGGCUGCAUCACGAUCGGCGAUCUAUCAACAAGACUUGCGAUGCUAUCACAGCUGCCGCGUCAAGAGCCGGACUUUUCAAGAGGGCGACUUAGUGCUCCGGUUGAUUCAAGACCACACUGGUAUGCAUAAGUUAUCACCACCAUUCGAAGGACCGUUUGUCAUCAGCAAGAAUCUUCGCCCUGAUAGGCCAACGACAUAGGUUGAGACAACUCGCCCCUGGAAUAUCGCCCACUUGCGGCCUUACUACACCUAGUGCCAUUGGCUCCUUCUUUAUUUUUUACAAUCUCAAAUCUGUAAUCUUUUAUUUAUAAAGCAAUAAUGCUAGCACCCACGAACUUCGGGGUCCUUUGCCGUUUCAACUUCUUAAAAGCAUGAGUCUUUAUUGUUUCAUAAGCCAUCCAAGCAUGGACACUAUCAGUAUCAAAGAGCAUAAGUUGCCAUGCUACACUUAUUUCAAAACUGGGUACAGGUAAGCCAAAGAGGACCAAAUUUGCCAGGUUGCACGGUUCAAACGUGGUUGCCUUAUAAGAUUUUGAGAACUACGACGGCUUAUGUGGGGGCUACUAGAUCCCAAAUCAUUUUGCAGUAAUAGCGCAUACGCUUCUGCAAUCCUAUGUCUGGUUUUUCCCUAAUCAUAGGUCACUUGGGGGCUUCCACUCACUGAGUUCAGCCUGAAUACCCUCUUGUCUAGCGAAAAAUUUCCGCAUUACAAAUGGUUAUACUGGACUAUGUGUUGGACGAGUCUCCCUAUGGACCCAUGUACUCUUGGCGAGUCAAUCCCUUUUUGGACCCUGAACUCGCCUUGGUUAAAACAUGAAAGGUACCGGCGAGAGCCACACAUGGAAAAUAGAUAAACCAUUGGUUCACUGAACCUGCUUCACUGAAGCUUGACUCGCGCCUAAUCAGCCGGUCUAAAAUAACUUGGGCUGUUGCAAAAGCCUUCUUGGGGUGGCACUAGAGUUUUGCAAACUCAUCCUAUCUUGUCGUAACUCAUCGAGGCGACAAAUUUUUAUGACUAUCUUCGUGGCACUGCCGCAAGGUUUCGUAAAAUAUUAUUAUGACUCGCCGCGACUCACCAAGCCGGCUCCUUAUUUAUAACUCGCCAUGACCCACUGGGCUGGUUUAUCGCUUGCCAUGACUCAUCGAGUCAGUUUAUGAUGUUUUCCCUCAUAAACAGGUUGAAGAAAUUUCUUGUCAAACUAUGACACUUCCAAUCUAUCAAGCAUAAGGAUCGGGAAAGGCGAUUCAUGAUUCACAAAAAGGAUGACAAUUCAGAACUGUCAAGCAUAAGGCAUGGGUGGAAGAUUGUUUCCCUAAAACCUAAAGACUAUUACAUGGCUCACUCGGCCAUACCGAGCGUCAUUUCCCAGUCAGAAAUAGUUCAAAUUGUUUUUGAAGAACCAAUUACAUGCAGAGUAAGCUCAAACCACCUUCGGGUCACCCUGCUUUUAGCUCUCUCCAUCUUCGAUUUGUAAGUCGCCCAGUUUCCAAUUGCACUUGGACAAGGAGACAAUCUCGUCUUCAUCACUCAAGAUGACAGAUAGGUCAGCAUCAAAAUCGAAGGGAUUCUUACGCCAUCAUGGAGUCAGGCUAGUAAGUUCGUACGAAGGGGGAGUCACCCUUUUAUUGCUGUCAUCAUACGCCGCCUGGUAUUUGUUCAAAUCUAGGUUGGCCACUAACUGAGUCGCCGCGGAGUGAGACGCCUUCACACACUAGUGGUAAUCCUUUUCAGUGAAUUCCGACUCAUCAUCUUUCAAUUCCGGAUAACCAACAGCUACCUCCUCUGGCUUGAGUUCGGGAGCAUAGUCCAGGCACCGACUUAGGGUAGUCAGUGCUCCCUUGCGGGCGGCUGAUCUCUUCAGUUCUUCUACUUGAGGUGGCAGUGUUGACAGGCAACCCAUCAUAUGCUUGAUGGAUUUUAUUGGCUCCUUGUUGCCCAUCACUGCCUUCAUCGUCAUCAUGCCUCCCGUAUACAACUACUCUGUAAAGGUGUAAAUCGCCUUUCGCUUCAGGAUGCAGUCGUGUUGGUGAUUGGCGGCUCGCGGACCUACAAAGGAUAACUUGUGACAAUUAGUAUUUGCAAACUGUAUUGUGGCUCUUCUUCAGACGAAGGGAAUUGAUCCUUACAAAAGAUGGCUUGGGUCAUGUUGGAGAUAUGCUUUUUUAAACCAUAGAGCUCUUGCAGAGCGGCUUCUAGCUUCUCCUCGCCUUGUUCCGCCCGCUUUAUGAUGGCGGCUUGAUCAACAUGGGCGUUCUUCUCAAAUUCUUGAUGAUCAGCCUUCAUUUUCUCCAUGUCAGCAAGGGCCGACCGAUAUUUCUCUUCAGACUUAGCCCGAGCAUCCUGCUGUUCGGCUAAGUUUUUCUUCAAAUCAGCUAAGGAUGAGUCGGCCCGGGUCAAGGAUUCCUGCCAACAAAUUUUGGGGAGGCAAGUGUCAGAACUGUUGCAAGCAACAUCCCUGACACUUGGGGCUAAUGUAUGAUUCAUUUCAAGUCAUACAAAAUUCAAGACCCGGCUCAUCUUUCAAAAGAUGACCCCGCCCUUGGGGGCUACAGGUUGAAGUUUUUUAAAUUCAAGACCCGGCUCAUCUUUCAAAAGAUGACCCGACCCUUGGGGGCUACAGGUUGAAGUUUUUUACUAAAUUCAAGACCCGGCUCAUCUUUCAAAAGAUGACCCAGCCCUUAGGGGCUACAAGUUGAAGAUUUUUACUAAAUUCAAGACCCGUCUCAGCUUUCAAAAGAUGACCCGGCCCUUGGGGGCUACAGGUUGAAGUUUUUUAAAUUCAAGACUCGGCUCAUCUUUCAAAAGAUGACCCGGCCCUUGGGGGCUACAGGUUGAAGUUUUUUAAAUUCAAGACUCGGCUCAUCUUUCAAAAGAUGACCCGGCCCUUGGGGGCUACAGGUUGAAGUUUUUUACUAAAUUCAAGACCCGUCUCAUCUUUCAAAAGAUGACCCGGCCCUUGGGGGCUACAGGCAAAUCUGGGUUUCACAAGAUAACCCAAUUCAUUAAAGAAAACUAGUCUUUUGGAAGGCUAAUGGGUGGAAAUACAUGUAACAAAGGAUGUACCUCAUGUUUGAUCCACAUCACGUUGACCAAGCUCUUUUCCAUUUCAUAGCUUGUUUCCAGGCGACUUACGAAACGAGAACAAAGUUGCUCAAAUUCAAGUUUCUCAUAAUUGGUAAGCUUCAGCUUGGUAAUGUCUGGUUCUGCAGAAAAGUGGGUCUCUUUGGAGGCAUGUUUUAUUAACACCGCUGUGGCAGGCUUCGAGUAUCCAGUACCAGUAACAACUAGGGUAUCUGGAUCUUCAGCCGCCUUGGAAGAGCUUGGCGGGUUAACAUUUUUAGUUACCUUCUUCAGAGGGCUUGAAGAAUCAGUUCGAACAUCUGGAAUGUCAUCCACAAGGUCAUCAUGAGUCGCCACUGGGUCUUCGUCAAGGUCUGGGAUAGAGGUGCUCAUACCAAACACCUCAGUUGUUUUAGGAGGAGAAGACAAGUCGCCACUUUUCCUCUUCUUUGCUUGUGCUGUGAGAUGAAAAGACACCAAAAUUAGGACAUGUAUCAUUAUUGGGUAGGAAAAAGGUUAAUAAAAGAACUUACCCCUGUACACGAAUCAUUGGGGGAAGAGCCGACAUUACUGAGUCGCUGGAUGAAGGAGGAGAGACCUGAUGGACAAGAGUUCAAGGAGUGAAUGAAUUGCGAAUAACAUUUUUCACAAGAAGGGAAAUGUCUUAACAGGAGUAUACCUCACUUUGUCGUUUCUGACCAGUUGUCUUUUCGGGUAACCCGGAAACUAAGUCGGCAGAAUGGCUUCGGGUAUGACGUUUGGGGGUAUACCUUGCCUUCUUGAAAAGGAAAUCAGGGUCCAGAUGAGCAUUUGGGUGAGACAUGGGAACUUUUCCACAAAUCCGCCUGGCCGGCUUAGGAGAAGAAGAACGGAAGAAAUAGAAAUUACCUCGACGACGUCAUCUUGGCUCUCAUAGUCAUCCUCCUACGAACAAAGGUAACGGGGCAUAAGCAUAAGUUCGAAGAUAGUGAUAACAAGCAAAAGGGUAAAUUUUUACCUCUGAUUGUUCUUCGCCGGCUCGAGACUCGCCCACGACAGAUGACUCCUUGGUGGCGGCUUUGCCUUUGUUUUUCUUUUUCUUCUUAGGAGGCGGCUUGGUUGUUUUCUGGACAGUCACCUUGGGCCUUCGAGACCAAAAUGAUGAUCCUUUCUUAUUGAUGUAACGACAGUUCAGAUCAGGAACAUUGGGAAACAUACUGAAAGAAUGAAAGGAGGCGACUUAGAUUGUUACCGCUGGAGCCGGGUUGGAGAGGGGGAAAGGCUUGAGCCCAAUCUUGGUGCAGUUCUCUAAGGGCUCGCUAGUCAACUUCUUGACCAUUUCAACAAUGUCUUCUUCGGUGAGUCUUGUAUGGAAGAAACAUUGGGGGUGGUUCGCGCUACCAUCAUAUUCACACAACAGGACAUCCCGCGACUCAAAGGAAGAAUCCUCCACUCCACCCAACAACGGACUAGGUCAAUCCUAGUAAGCCCAUUGUUGGUCAAAGAGCUUAGCUCGGAGAAAACGGGGAAAAGGUUGCUUCUUCUUCUUCAGUAAGUUUUUCUGGCAGCUUGAAAUCCAUGGGCAAGCGAUCUUCUGUGUAACCCGGAAGUCGGUUCUCGUCGGGAGGAGAUGUGUGACGACAAUAGAACCAUGACUCGGCCCAACCUUUGGGAUGGUUGGGUAGAAUGACAUGUGGGAACCCACAUUCGCGAUGUCGCUGGAUGUUAACCCACCAAGUUCCAAGCAAGUCCCGUUGGUGCAUUCGGUCUGGCGGUUCAGAUAGAAGAAGUUCCUGAAUAGUAGCACUGUAUGUUCUAUUUGCAGAUAGGCCUCGCAAAACACCUGGAAUUGGCAGAGCUUGCUGAUGGAGUUUGGCACCAAGUCUUGAGGGUGAACAUUGAGGAAGUGCAAAACGUCUGUGAAGAACUUUGACCCGGGAGGCUUGAAGCCUCGUUCAAGAUGAUCAACAAAGGCGACUACCUCCCCCUCGGCAGGAUGGGGAGUCGCCUCGCCUGGGGCAGUCCGCCAGCCAACAAUUUCUUUGGGAUCAAGAUAACGCGCCGUAACAUAUUUAUCAAGAUAGGUGUCAUUGAUUUUGGUUGGUAACCAGUUGCAGUUCGAGAUAUUGCCCAUGACUACAAGAGGAAGGAACAAGGCGGUUUAUUAGAAACCAUGUAAGUGAUAACUCGCCAAUUGGGUGAUCUACAGUAUGUUUACUGGGACAUUAUGAGUCGCCAUUCAGUAAUCAAAGGCGUAGCUAUGGGGAUAUUCUGACUCGCCAUGGUGGGAGGAGGUGAGUAGCAACUCUAAAAGGGUUUUUUCCUUAGGGAUAUUCCCGGAAGGAGGAUAAACCCGUUUCUAAAAACGAGCAAUAAUUUACGGAUCUACGGGUGGACCAAAUUAAAAAACUAAUGCCUGUCGAAAUUACGAAAGCUAUGAACGCAAGAAUGCAACAGGGAUGCCACAUGGAUGUAUGAAGAACACAUCAAAUGGCCGGGAGAUGUGGUGAAACUACCGUGACUUACUACUACGAAGGAUCUACCGUAAGCAUGUUGGACGGAUCCAAAAUAGAGGGGAGAUAUUCAUCGCGUUCCGAGGCUAACCUAGAAGAACAUGGGAUUCGAGGUCUAACCCUAAUGGAGGAAGGGUGUUUACCUGACAGAGGAGGACGAUGUCACGAGAUCGAUGCGGCAUAUCCGCGACGGAGACCGCACCUUCGACUGGCCUGGAGACGCCCGGACUGCAGUGGCCGGCGAUGGAGCUUCGGGAACGGCGAGAAGGCCGAAGCGCAGGUGCGAGGAAGACGAAGCUGACGAGGAAGAUGAAGUGGGGGUAGGUGGCAACGCCCCCACUCCCCCUGCGGUUAUUUAAAGGCAGGGCGCUGGAAACGAAACGGCAGGCCUGGAUUUUCGGGAUAACAAGGUGACGAUAAAAAAAGAUCUGUUGUGCAAUUACGUCAACGAAUCCUGAAACUAGAGGGAAAAGGUGAUGUCGCCAAUAACCUUUNNNNNNNNNNNNNNNNNNNNNNNNNNNNNNNNNNNNNNNNNNNNNNNNNNNNNNNNNNNNNNNNNNNNNNNNNNNNNNNNNNNNNNNNNNNNNNNNNNNNUCGGAUCCCACUGUGCUGGAAAGGCCGUUCUUGUUCGCCUUGACACCGCCGCUGCCGGACUCGACCGACUCAGCGUCGCUGUCCGUCAUCGUAGAUCGUAGAUCGUCGAGGCUCUAGAUACCAAUUGUUGGCUUUUGAACGUGCGUAUGCAGCUGUACAGGCGUGCCUACGCGAUUCUUGCUUUGGCCGGCUACUUGACGGAACUUGCGUAACUAGCGACACGAAUAAAACUGAUCGAUGGAUUUGAUGGCUAAAGGCCCGUGUCGAGCCUUUGCUUUGUAUUGCUUUUCGUUUUUUUGGGUGUUACAAUCAACACCCCUAGGGUGUCUUUUAUACACGUCCACAAGGGACUAUGAAAAUAGACUAGGAUUAGGAAUCCUAAUACUACUAGGACUCGGUUUGGCUUUCUUUCCUAAUCCUACAUGAGCAACAUGAUUAACAUCUACAAUGCCCUGGUGCGGACCUUAGUAGGCUACUAUUCCACAUUGUGUGAUUUGAUCUGUAUAAUUAAAAUUCUGUGAACUCGAGUAUGUCAUGUCAGGAUUCCUUUGGAAAUAUACAAAGAUGAGGAGGAGGUACCGAUGCAUGCCGUGAUGAAGAAAUUGUGAACUUAACAUGCCAUUUUAAUGCGAUUAUGAUCCGGGUGUAGGACCGAUGAGCGUGCACAUGGUACCGCUAUGAGGGUACAAGAGCCCAGAUAUAGUCUUUACUCACGCCAUCUUGUUAUGAUCGAUUAAGGCAUGCCUGCUUCCUGGAAGACGGGCGAGGCAUGGGCAGAGAUUGCUACUAGUUAUGAACUGAAGUGAACUUUGAUCGUGUGCGUGGAUCAUAUCUCCAUGCUUGCUUCUUCGACGGGCAAGGCAUGGGCACUAGGACUCACUACUGUACUCAACUGAACUGUCUUGUGUGGAUCAUACCAUGGCAAACAGUGACCAGUUCCCACAUCAGAUACGCGACCGCCAUUUGAAGCUGAAACUAAGGGUAGUUCACGAAUGAUUGAUCCAAGUCAUAAACCAAUUUCCUCCAAUUAAAACCUGUCUGUCUGGAUCAUUGAUAACCUGCAGUACGCUACAUAUGAUGAUCUGUACGUUCUGUUGGAUGAGAAAAUUAACUGUUUGUGUGUGUGUGUACAUACAGUAGUAGGGCACACAUGGAUGAGCUAGUGACCUAUGGAGGAUGUGGACCAAACUAUAUAAUGGCACAUAAAGCAAGCAAAUGGCCUCCCUCCCUCCUUCUCACCAACAGAAAGAGAGUUGAUGGAGCUCAAGAUUACUGAUCUUAUUCCUAUCAGCAUCAGCAUCAACCGUACAACAUGUCGUCUCCUGUUCCAGCAACCAGCCAGUGUUAAAGGAGCAAGUUGUGGUGGAACUCAGGCUACAUGGCACCCCUUAUCUGGCCACAAUUUUCGGCAUUGCGAUCCGUGCAGGCACAUUUGACUUUUUUUGUUUAUCCUAAAUAAAACAACAUGCCUUGCAAGACAACAAAACAUUCAUGUGGGAAAAACAUUCGUAUUAAUUCAUGCAUCAUAAAUACUUAAAACACUUUUUUUCAUUUUAUAUAUUUAUGUCAGGCAAACAAAAUCCAAAAGUUUUUUCACACAUUGAACUGCUAAUGUUUGGUUGUCUUGUUUCAUUUGAGAUAAACAAAAAGAGAAACUUUCAUGUACCAAGUUAGUUGGUUAGCACAAAUCUCAAGGCAAUAUUGAAAGGGUAAGGAUAAGGGGUGUCAUGAAGCCUGAGCACCAAAAAACCACUCUCUGGUUGAAGUUCAUUGUUUGUCAUGGUGAAGUUGUCUAUCAAUUUGUCAGCAAGUCGAUUCAGAUAUAUGUGCAUAGCACAGUCACGGAUGGUUUAUUGCAUCUUACAACCAAGGUGGCUUGACCAGCUAUACAUUAAAUUACAGAAAGUAGUGUAGUACAAAUAACACACACACGCCAAAAUUUAGCUCAAACUGUUUCUUAUUCGGUCGACGGAUCUAAUAUAUAUCUAUGAUGACAAAAUUAUCUAUGUUAGUGAAUUCCAAUGACACUCUUUGUUGUUGCCAAUAUAUUUGAAGCAGUAAAGCAUCCCUUCGGGUUACAUGGUUGACAUGCACUUCAAGGUCUCAAUGAUUUGCUUCCGAGUCUUUUUGCGAGGCAUGAUACAAAACGAUCGUAAUGUAUUGUGCUACUUGGUGUGAUGUUGCCGGCGACCCUGACGGAGUCGAGGGGCCAAGAGUGAGUUAAGAUAAUGCCCGUUUGGAUAUUCAUAUUGAAGGCAAGAAUUAGAGAAUGACAUUCGGGUGACCCGAAUAUCUCCCUUUAAAUGAUCACAACAUUCAAAUGCAAAAUUGCAUCUAAAUAUCUAGCGGUCUUGGACAACAAUUGCUUAACCCCGUCCAGAUUAUCAACCUACACACCUCCAAAUUUGUCUACAUUAGCUCUUCUCCCCACCCCUCUUUCUCCAUAUAUCUAACCUUCAUAUUCCUUUGUACGUCCCGCAUCUGCUCCCUCAGUGCCCGUCAUCACUCAAUGAGCCCCACUGCCCCUGUCUUGUUCCUUUCGUCGUAGUCAGCUGGACAAAAUUGCUACAAUAGAUAUGCCACAACGGUGGUGACUUGGUGAACGAGAAUGAUCUAGGUGACCAGUGCAUCGGCUAGCGACAUCACGCAUGGAUUCAUCUCUGUCGGGUCUUCAUGAACCGACAACAUGUCACGAUUGUGCUAGUGUCCAUAAUAACGUUGUCCCAAUGAGAAUUCAUGGUGCCAUGAUUGAGUCAACCAAGUUCACCAUGCCUACAUGUAGCAUGCGUGGUCUAUCCAAUUAUGUUGAUUUUUCUCUCUAUGUGUGUGUCUUAUUGCUCACUACUCACUAAUAUCUAUUCUUCCAAUCUCUACACUCAAAUGGAGUGUGCAUAAUUUUAUAUUAAACUUUUAUAUUUCUCUUUCCGUAAUAUUGUUUUAGCGAGUAUAAUUUACAAAUAGUUCGAUUGCACAACCAACCGUAAAAAUGAUGAGAAAUAUACACCGGAAAAUUGCUUAUUCUAAAAUUAAAUUGUGUAUUGUAAUACAAUGUCUCUUUGAAUUAAUUUAUGUCAAUUGCAUACAUAAUAUAUUGCCUAUUUAUGUUUAUUUGCAUUUUAAUGUAAUUAAAUAUCAUAGUGGAGAUUUCUAAACUGUAUUAUUUAACAAAUAUCUUAAUAGUAAUUUCUAGUGUAUUAUUAGAAAAGCAUAUUUAAAAACCUUUUAGACUAUAAAUUGAACAUUUUCAAAUGUGCCUCACAAGUUGGGUUGGUAAUAAGUGUACAAUAUGCGCUUGCUCUAUAUAAUUCGUAUUGGAAUAGGAUUGCUUGUACUCCCUUGGGGAAGGUUGGAUCGACAUACGAUUUAUUUUAACAGCGAUGUUCGAACAUACCAUUUGUUUUAACCGUGUCCCGGGCAAGCCGACACUCUACCCAUACUUGUGGCAUUGUCGACAUUCUAUUCAAGGCUUUGAACCUUGAGCAUGGAUUGGGCCAGUUGUCCCUUCAAUGUCAGGAAAUGCUUGGUGAGGAGGUGGAUCUCCUAAGCAGAUUUCUGAACAUAACAAAAAUACGCAUGGAUCAAUGCUAAGUGACCCGAUGAAUAUAUUCGAUAUUGAGGCCACCUCUUUGAGACGACCACAGCCUCGGGGGCUAUUGCGUCUGUGUCUGAAUAGGAUAGAAAUAAAAUCCUAAGUGCUUGAUAGUUCCUGAGGUGGGAUUCGAUCCUCUGUUCGUCCACUUGCGCCCAAUUUGAAUCUGGGGGACUGCGUAUCUUCUGUUUUUCUCUUAGUUUGUUCCAAAGCUCGGAUUCGAUCCUCAGGCCGGUUUUUGUAAAUCAACCUGAGUCUCAAGGGCUAUUGGUCAACGGUUUUUUACUUAACAAUACAAAGAUCCUGCUAGAGACUAUUUUGAUUGUCAAUUCAGCCUCCUUCGCUAGCUUGACUUAAGUCUGGGCUCUGGAGGGCUAUUGCACACUAUAUUCUUCUGUAAAUUGUUAAAAGUUUUUCGACCAACUGCAGCUCGGCAUCUUUCAGAUCGAGCUGCACUUCAGUCGAGACUAGAACGCACAGAUGCUAAAUUUUUCCGAGACUCUAUGUGUCUAUCGGAUUUCAAACCAAUACACACCUUGAGGGCUACUGUCUAUACUAUCAUCCAUAAAUUUAAACGCAUGACCAACACUUACCUCCAUGUUGGCCACGAAGACAUCCAUCAGGCCCUUCACGAACUGGCUCAUGGCAUCGGCUUGCUCCCGCACAAGCUUGAGUGUACCCCGAUGCAUCGAGUUUAAGGACCGAUUCAUCCAGCACUCCUUCUCCUUCUGGUGACUCAGGGUUACCGCGACCUCGGAUGUCGUUACCGACAACUAUUCAUAGUUCUCCUGCUCCGGCGACGCGUCAGGUGCAAUAGAAAAAGACAACGGUGGGGUAGAGAAGCCGCGCUAGGACCCAACGCGGUGGACAUCCCGGCUGUCAUGGUCGGAUCAGCUGGAGUGGUGGAAGAAGCUGGAGGACUGGGUCCUUCCACGCGGUGAACCAGGAGUGACCUCCUCCCCGAUGUAUUCGUUACUCCCGGACAACGCGCCUAGGGAAGAGGGAGACGCCCCCGCGAGCCCUUGCCUGUCAAGGGACGAGUAUGCCCCAUCAUCGACGGCUCCGGUGGUGGCAGUGAGUGGGGAAGGAGGGAGGAGAGGGGAGGGCUGGCGGCGGCGAUUUAGGGUUCCUCCUCAUCACCGCACGGCGGCACGGGGGCGACAUGCGAGGUGCGGGGGAGAAAAAAGAGAGCAACCAUAGCGUUGGAGAUGCCCUUACAAAAUAAAAAUGAAAAUGCAAAGGACCUAAGAUGUCUUGCCAUCUACCUGUCAUAUCAUGACAUUCCAUCUGCUGGUAGGAUGUCAACAGACUGAAAUAGUUAUGCCGUGAUGGUACUUAGAUCUCACAGUUGCACGCAUGCAUGUGUGGAAGAAAAAGAAGGAAAUGUCAUUUCAGAGUCAGCUAAGCAGGUCAUUUGCACACACAAAAAAAAGCUCUGCUGGUUGGACAUGGACAGAUACAAAGUCAAGGAACAUACACAAGUCAAUAAAAAAUAAAUGGUAUUGAAAGUUUGGUUAAACAUAGCUUUUGGGUUAACUGUUUCUUCCCACGAGGAAGCUAACUACUGUGAUUUUGGUCUUAUUCUACUAGUGCUGUGCUUGUGCAUCAUUAUGACUGAUGUUAGGCCUAAAAGUGCAAACUCCUUGUGAUCGAUUAAGCCUGACAGUGUCUAUUUUGAUGCAGGGAAAGUUUUAGUUGUAGCUUAACAGCUGAAUUAGGGAUAAUAAUCAAUCAUGCUAAAACAUUGGGAGUGUCGAUAUAGGAUAUAUAUGUCCUAGCUUGUCUGUGUUGUCACUGUCAUGGGUGGUAAUCGCGAUGUGAGGUGGCAUUAACGAGCUAAUCAUCAAAGCUAGCGUGGCAUUGAAAGAAUGAAUUAUGCCAUGUCAAUGUACGUACAAGUCACGUGGAGGGGGCUGCCGCUGUAUUCAGUCUAGCUGGCAUUGGCAGAGCAUAUGCUUGGAGUUGUAGGGAUGCCCUGUUUACUGAAGCAGACUGAUAGUCAGUCUUGUGAAUUUGCCCCAAAAAACAGUUAGGACCGCCAACAUUUUUCUUGAGAGGAAGUCUUUUCCCUUCCAAAACUGUCAACUUAUAUAGGAACGAAGGGAAGGGAGUACAAAAUUGAAUCAUUUAUUUUGGGACUGAAAGAGUAGUAAAGUAGAACAAGGCAUCAGUAAAACAGAGUCAUGCAUGUACUCCUUACUGAACAGAGUGAAAACCAACCAAACCCAGGCUGCAGUUACUUGAUAGUACUACUAGUCAGUCACUGAGGAGCAGAGCCAGAGUCAUUUACUUAUGGAUUCAUUCAUUCAUUCAUUCGUCGACUGGUCCUCCUCCUCCCUAAUGGCUAAUGGGAUCAAUUCGAUUGAAUGGGCACUGCCCUACUGAGAUGUGGUUUUGGGUUUGGUAUCGUUGGAUCGAUCAUGGGUAGUGGUAGGCUGGUCACUCACCUCACGCAGUAAAGAUGAGGAAUUAAUCGGGAGGAUGAUAUGCUAGCUCUGGUGCUGAUCCUUAGUAGGCUGGGGCCCAAUGUACAAGUUGGGAGCUUAAUUAACAUGACAUUUUGGUGUGAUUUUCAGCGAUAUGAGCAUGCAUCACCAUCACCAUCACCAUCGGUUAGUACCACACUAACUAAGCUAAGCUAAGCUAGGUGCAGUUAUAAUACUCCUCGCUCACACCAUCUUCUUUUGAUUCUUUCUUUGCACGGAUGAGGCAUGGGCACAGACUGCUACUACCACUUAACUCAACUUCCAUGCGUGGAUCAUUCAUACCAUUCCAGGACAUACCAUACAGGAUCGAUCGAUGGAGAUCAUGAACCGGUUUACUCUGUGUAUCUAGAUCUUUGUUCACCUGCAGUAAGUAGUACGGCCGAUGAUGACCUGUUUGUUCUGUUUGUUGCCUGGGGGAAUUAACUGACUGACUACACCAUACUCAUCAUAAAUCGUAAUAAUUCUAUGUUUGGGUACAUACGUACUGUAGAGCAGGACACAUGGAUGAGUGAAUGACCCCUGAAUCUAUGGAAGCCAGCCAGUGGACCAGGAACAGAUCACACGUACGUACUACGAAAUCAAUCAAUGAAAAUGAAUGAAUGGCACCAAAGCAAGCAUCCUGCUGCUAGAUCCUCCCUCCUUCUGAAGAACAGCAAGAGAGAGUUGAUUUCUGGCUCAUGAUCACUGAUUUUAUUCCCAUCAGCAUCGCCACCAAUCAUACAACCUGCCUCUCAGCGUCCUCCUGUUUUCUACACUUGUACCAGUCAGCCAGCCAGCAUUCAAGCUAGGUCACUCUCACUCUCACUCUCAACAAGGUGCAGGGGUCAACAGCAUCUCCAUUCACCAGCAGAUUUAUAUGCACAGUCACACAUCUUUAUUAUACAACCAAGAGUGGAUGCUAGCUCAGCUGUACAUUUCCUUACAUGCAUUAUAGAGAGUGAGUGAGUGAGUGAGGAGGAGAUGAUCCAUCCUUCCUUCCUGCUGGUGCUGGUGCUGGUGCUGAUGCAUGCAGUGCCCAUAAACACGGCAAAAUUUGGGCUCUGUCUUUCUUGCUGUUAAUCCAUCCAGUGGACCUAGUAUCUAUCUAUCACAAGAAUCAGAGUGUGGCUCUGCCUUGUACUAUCGGGUGAGCGACAGUGACACCCCUGUUUGUUGUUGCAGUUGUAGUUGUUGCGAGUGGGGAUGGAUGUCUGAAGCAGUGAAGCAUGCGUCCCACUUGAGAUCCAUGCAUGCUCUCGCCUUGCCUAGCUUCUUGUUGCUGUUGUUGGUUGAGGAAUCAGGAUCAUGUCUCUGCUUGUGAUUGCGAGGAGGGUACCAGCUGUGUUGGUUGCGGUACGAUGGACGGCGACGUGGUGUGGUACUCGGCUGCGAUGUCUCCAGCGACCCUGACGGCGUCGAGGGAGAGCCCGGCGAGGCCCCGGCGCGUGAAGCCGACGGAGUAGAGCCCCGACUCGCCCUUCCAACCUUCCGGGAAGUCCACCUUGGGGUACCCCUCUCCACUGAAGAAGUNNNNN
rnacentral:lncRNA from 1 species